rnacentral:rRNA from 1 species
AUUGAACGCUGGCGGCAUGCCUUACACAUGCAAGUCGAACGGCAGCACGGGAGCAAUCCUGGUGGCGAGUGGCGAACGGGUGAGUAAUAUAUCGGAACGUGCCCAGUAGUGGGGGAUAGCCCGGCGAAAGCCGGAUUAAUACCGCAUACGACCUGAGGGUGAAAGCGGGGGAUCGCAAGACCUCGCGCUAUUGGAGCGGCCGAUAUCAGAUUAGCUAGUUGGUGGGGUAAAGGCCCACCAAGGCGACGAUCUGUAGCUGGUCUGAGAGGACGACCAGCCACACUGGGACUGAGACACGGCCCAGACUCCUACGGGAGGCAGCAGUGGGGAAUUUUGGACAAUGGGCGCAAGCCUGAUCCAGCAAUGCCGCGUGCAGGAAGAAGGCCUUCGGGUUGUAAACUGCUUUGUACGGAACGAAAAGGUCCGGGUUAAGUACCCUGGGCUCAUGACGGUACCGUAAGAAUAAGCACCGGCUAACUACGUG